UUUAUUUUUUUUAUUUUUUUUCCAAUAUCUAUACUAACAGAUGAGCCUAUAAUUUCAGUUAACCAUGCAACUGUAGGAAGCGAAACUAUGCAAGAUGAUAUUACCACUCUCUCUUAAUAAAAUGCUAUCAGUGAAAACAAUUAUUCACCAAUUCAAUCUAUUCAUGAUGAUAUUACCACUCUCACUCAAGAAGAAGCUGCUAUCAGUGAAAACAAUUAUUCUAUAAUCUAUGCAAGAUGAUAUUACCACUCUCACUCAAGAAGCUGCUAUCAGUGAAAACAACUAUUCACCAAUUCAAUCUAUUGAAGAUGAUAUUAUCACUCUCAAUCAAGAAGCUACUAUCAGUGAAAACAAUUAUUCACCAAUGUAAAAUACAAUAAUAC